rnacentral:lncRNA from 12 species
CAGGUUCCGGGGUGAACUCUGGUCUUAUGCUCCACUUUGCAUAUUUGGAACUUCGAAAUUUCCAUUUCUGUUUGAGCCCUUUGUUUCGAGCACUUCAAUGCUAAAUUGAGUGUGAAUUCCGUCAGGUGACAUUUUCUUUCCUCGCUUCACUAUGCAGAGUAAAUUGCAUCUGUCGCAGCCAACUCUCCAUUCACGGUGUGCUUUUAUUACGUAUCUCAAAUCCUGUAGCUUUUUCCUCUGCUGUUCUCCUUCCUCCGAGACCCAAUGCAUUUUCGACUUUGUGCUGUGGUAACUGCUCCCUUGAAAUACUGGAGCGGAGUCAGUCAUAGUCUGCCUGGGAAGGCUCACCUUGAAUGCGGAAGACCUCCCUUCAGCUGCUCAGCCAAUGGGAAGGCCACCUCAUUCUUCAGCUAGACAUAUCAAUGACUAAAUCACGACACUGGAGCUCUUUCCUUCAAAUUGUGUGAUUGGAUUUAGGAAGUAGAAAGAUAUUUUGUGGAGUAAAUAAUUUUGCUCACUAGAUGCUGAUGAGCUGUCAUUUCUAUCUGCUGCCUUACAGGUCAAAUCUUUGAAAGGAGUAAUGUCAGAAAGCUAUAGACACAGAACAACAGAAGAAUUUUAACUAUUAAACACUUUUCAAAAACUUUUUCAGCAGAAUUGAAGGAUCACCCUGGCUCAACCCAAAAGAAUUUUCUCCAUUUAUAACUAUCCGCUAAUGCUGACUGCCUCCAUUUUUUUCCACCCCUUCAAAUUCAAUUCAUUACCAACAAGUGAGCAAGAGCCAUUCAAGGCCUAGCCCCUUGUCCUUAUCUAAAUCUAACUAGUAUUUCAUUCAUUGGUUCCUUAGUUCUGACUAAACAAUUUCCUAUUUACUUCUUUGAUGCCAUAGAAAGGAAGGCAAAAUUAAAAAGAAAGAAGAAUAAGAGUGACUUAGCUAAAUGUAAUUGUUUUAAUUGCCAAAGAGCUGAAAAUUUAUACAACUGGACUGUGAUGCUGUGUGUGGGACCUGCUAGCCAGCAGGAAAAGAAAGUAUUUUUGUUUUGUUUUGCUUUGUUUUUGUAGAUCUUAAAAAAAUUAUUUACUCAUUUAUUUAGAAUGGGGGACGGACAGAAGGAGAGG